rnacentral:rRNA from 1 species
CCUACGGGUGGCAGCAGUGGGGAAUAUUGCACAAUGUGGGAAACCCUGAUGCAGCAACGCCGCGUGAGUGAUGACGGCCUUCGGGUUGUAAAGCUCUGUCUUCAGGGACGAUAAAGACGGUACCUGAGGAGGAAGCCGCGGCUACCUACGUGCCAGCAGCCGCGGUACUACGUAGGUGGCGAGCGUUGUCCGGAUUUACUGGGCGUAAAGGGAGCGUAGGCGGGCUUGUAAGUGAGAUGUGAAAUGCUCGGGCUCAACUUGAGGGCUGCUUUUCAAACUGGAAGUCUAGAGUGCAGGAGAUGAGAAUGGAAGUCCUAGUGUAGCGGUGAAAUGCGUAGAGAUUAGGAAGAACACCAGUGGCGAAGGCGAUUCUCUGGACUGUAACUGACGCUGAGGCUCGAAAGCGUGGGGAGCAAACAGGAUUAGAUACCCUUGUAGUC